rnacentral:rRNA from 1 species
GACAGCAGUAGCCGCGGUAAAACGAAGGGUGCAAGCGUUACUCGGAAUUACUGGGCGUAAAGCGUGCGUAGGUGGUGGUUUAAGUCCGUUGUGAAAGCCCUGGGCUCAACCUGGGAAUUGCAGUGGAUACUGGGUCACUAGAGUGUGGUAGAGGAUAGUGGAAUUUCCGGUGUAGCAGUGAAAUGCGUAGAGAUCGGAAGGAACAUCUGUGGCGAAGGCGACUAUCUGGGCCAACACUGACACUGAGGCACGAAAGCGUGGGGAGCAAACAGGAUUAGAUACCCCCGUAGUCCCUGUCUCUUAUAC